UGCAGUCGAGCGGUUGACGGGAGCUUGCUCCCUGAUUCAGCGGCGGACGGGUGAGUAAUGCCUAGGAAUCUGCCUAUUAGUGGGGGACAACGUUUCGAAAGGAACGCUAAUACCGCAUACGUCCUACGGGAGAAAGCAGGGGACCUUCGGGCCUUGCGCUAAUAGAUGAGCCUAGGUCGGAUUAGCUAGUUGGUGAGGUAAUGGCUCACCAAGGCGACGAUCCGUAACUGGUCUGAGAGGAUGAUCAGUCACACUGGAACUGAGACACGGUCCAGACUCCUACGGGAGGCAGCAGUGGGGAAUAUUGGACAAUGGGCGAAAGCCUGAUCCAGCCAUGCCGCGUGUGUGAAGAAGGUCUUCGGAUUGUAAAGCACUUUAAGUUGGGAGGAAGGGUUGUAGAUUAAUACUCUGCAAUUUUGACGUUACCGACAGAAUAAGCACCGGCUAACUCUGUGCCAGCAGCCGCGGUAAUACAGAGGGUGCAAGCGUUAAUCGGAAUUACUGGGCGUAAAGCGCGCGUAGGUGGUUUGUUAAGUUGGAUGUGAAAGCCCCGGGCUCAACCUGGGAACUGCAUCCAAAACUGGCAAGCUAGAGUACGGUAGAGGGUGGUGGAAUUUCCUGUGUAGCGGUGAAAUGCGUAGAUAUAGGAAGGAACACCAGUGGCGAAGGCGACCACCUGGACUGAUACUGACACUGAGGUGCGAAAGCGUGGGGAGCAAACAGGAUUAGAUACCCUGGUAGUCCACGCCGUAAACGAUGUCAACUAGCCGUUGGAAUCCUUGAGAUUUUAGUGGCGCAGCUAACGCAUUAAGUUGACCGCCUGGGGAGUACGGCCGCAAGGUUAAAACUCAAAUGAAUUGACGGGGGCCCGCACAAGCGGUGGAGCAUGUGGUUAAUUCGAAGCAACGCGAAGACCUUACCUGGCCUUGACUGCUGAAGACUUUCCAAAGAUGAUUGGUGCCUUCGG
rnacentral:rRNA from 1 species